CGCACACCCCUAAACAGAUUUUAGAAAGCUGCUGGGCUUCUCCCCCCUCCCCUUUAAGCAAGUGAAAUGCAAAUUCAGAUUUGAUACCUUGCCCUCAGCCAAUGGAAAAGAGGUUUUCACCUGCCACGGGCCAACCCACCAAUCAGAGGAAGUGUCUGGAGUGAGAGCCCUCCCCUGGCCAAUGGAAGGCCAGCUCAGUCACUUAGUUAAUGAUGCAGCAGUACAAGGAAGGCCAUCACAUGUGAACUGGAAGGGUGCCAACAUGGAGACACAGAGCGCGCAAGGUUUGAGCAGCUGACACGAAGGGAAAAGAAACUGAAGUGGG